rnacentral:rRNA from 1 species
UUGAAAUGCAUCGUGACCGGCCUUGAAAGAGGGUUUUUCCCGUUCGGGGCAGAUGUGUAGGUGCUGCAUGGUUGUCGUCAGCUCGUGCCGUGAGGUGUCGGCUUAAGUGCCAUAACGAGCGCAACCCUCAUCAUUAGUUACCAUCAGGUAAGGCUGGGGACGUCUAAUGAGACUGCCAUCGUAAGAUGUGAGGAAGGUGGGGAUGACGUCAAAUCAGCACGGCCCUUACGUCCGGGGCGACACACGUGUUACAAUGGGUGGUACAAAGGGCAGCUACCUGGCGACAGGAUGCUAAUCUCCAAAACCACUCUCAGUUCGGAUCGGAGUCUGCAACUCGACUCCGUGAAGCUGGAUUCGCUAGUAAUCGCGCAUCAGCCACGGCGCGGUGAAUACGUUCCCGGGCCUU